CUCCUAGAAAAUGUUAUUUGGGGGUGAUGCAAGGAGAAGCAUAUUGUAAGCACGGACCCGACAUAAUGAAUCUUGAUUAAGGAAGAUCUGUACGUGCCAAAAACAAUAGCAUAACGAAACUCAUACCAUUUAGAAAAGCAUAAUGGUACUUAAGCACUUUAUGCUGAGGAAUAAAAAAUUCAUGUAGCAGAUUGAUUUAGAAAGAAAGAAAAGGAAUUCAUAUUUGCCUCUUUAGUCUUAUAAGUGUAACAUCUCGAGGAGGAGUAAGAACAUCUCAACUCUCAUCCUAAAACAAAAAUGUAAGUCGUCUAUAGAGAAUAGCUUGUCAAAUGACUAACAAUAUAUAUUAACCAUCCUAAAAUACAUUUGUCGACAUCUAAUAUAUAAUCUCAUCAAAGUCACUCUCUUACAUUUAAAACUUCGAAUGUUAAAUAUAUAUGUACCUUUUGAUGUUUGAACUCAACACCUUCCACCAACUCCAAAGGUGGAAAGGAGGUGGAAUAAUUAGUGAUUUUCUUAGUAUACACAUUCACGACACAAUGAGUGUUAGAACUUGUACCAUGACAUAGCCAAAGUAAGGAAAAUAUCUUGCAUGUAUAAAGAAAAAAAAUAGAAAUGUAAGAUGCAGCAUACUUGAUUUAGGCAUCUAGGGUAUUCAGUAGUAGUAUAUUCGUUCAGUAACAACUUUCAAGCAACAAUCUUCUCCAUUUACCAUUUUAAUUAUAGAAAUCAAGCCCAUAGAGUUAAGGGUAAAAAAAUAAUUUAAAAAGAAGAAGUUCAGCAACAUUAACUCUUUUAGUUUCUACCACUACAUGCCUGUACAUGACAUAUAUAGGCUUAGCUUUUAAUUUUUUUUUGUUUCGUGGUGGUUCAGAAAAGAGUAGGAAUACUAUCAAUUCCUUGUUUAGCUUUAAAAAAAAAUUGUUCAACUAAACUCAUAGAGAGUUGCGGAAAGGAUGAGAAGAAUUUCUUACCGAGUUACUUUGAAAUGCAUCGUCAAACGGGUUCUACCAACUGCAUUUGAUGUAUGGCUGACCGUAGUUCUUCGAAAGAUGCUCAACUGAUCAUUUUGUGGGAGAAACAUUUAAAAAAUUAGGUAUGCAUCUAUAGAUAUUGUUGCUCAUAGAUAAUGGCAUUACCAUAUUGCCUUGAGAAAUGGUGCUUUCUUAUUGAAAAAUUCCUGAAAAAAGAGCAAUAUAUCUGAGGAACUUUUAGAAAUUAGUUUACAUGCUAUAAGUUCUUCAGCAAUGAAGCUUGACAGCUAGCUCUGUACUCAAGAAUUUCUUAGCCAUUUUGUUCUACUUAUUU
rnacentral:lncRNA from 1 species